rnacentral:hammerhead_ribozyme from 2 species
GAGAAGUUUACCGAUGAAAUCGGUACUGAUGAGUCCAAAAGGACGAAACUUCUA